rnacentral:rRNA from 1 species
UAGUGGCGGACGGGUGAGUAACGCGUGAGAAUCUGCCCUCAGGAGGGGGAUAACGGCUGGAAACGGCCGCUAAUACCCCAUAUGCCGAGAGGUGAAAUGAAUUUCGCCUGAGGAUGAGCUCGCGUCUGAUUAGCUAGUUGGUGUGGUAAAGGCUCACCAAGGCUUCGAUCAGUAGCUGGUCUGAGAGGAUGAUCAGCCACACUGGGACUGAGACACGGCCCAGACUCCUACGGGAGGCAGCAGUGGGGAAUUUUCCGCAAUGGGCGCAAGCCUGACGGAGCAACGCCGCGUGAGGGAUGAAGGCCUCUGGGCUGUAAACCUCUUUUAUCAAGGAAGAAGGUCUGACGGUACUUGAUGAAUAAGCCACGGC